UAUUUCAUUAACUUUGAUCAAAGUUCAAAAUUAAUUCUGUUUUUAUUCUUGUAGUUUAAUGGCACUCAGCAUACGAGAGCCGUGUGAUGUUGAGUAUAAAUUAUUUUAUGAGUUCAAUAGUUUUGGUGUUUGUACAAAAUUAUUAGGAGCUGCAUUAGAAAUUCCCGAAAGAUCGAUCACCAUCGAUCCAGCAAUCAUCACUAUUAUUGAUAUCCAAAAUGGCGGUAUGUUCUGUGGUUAAUGGUGGUAACCCUCAAGUUUUCAUCAAAGAUAGUCAUGAAAUAAGUGAGGUAAAGAGUGCUUGUUGUCAAAAAUUUAAAGUAGAACUCAGAUCAGCACAAAAAAUUAUUGAACUGCUACAAGAAGAGAUAAACACGCCCAGUCGUACCCGCCAGAGGAGACACUGUCCAACAUCAAGAUUGAGCCCGAUGACAGCGAACUGGAGCUACAGAUAGCCCUCAAGAAAGCACAGAGACUGAAGCUGCAGGAGGCUGUUACAGAACCAAAGAACAGUGUAGAAAAGGUGGCAGAGUCAGUACUGGAGAGAAGCUCAGGAGGAAACACGGAAGGUGGUUCCAUUGUGCUGAAUGCUACAGCAUAAUUCUGCCAUACGUUGGGUGACAUUCCCGCUUAUGGUCUGGCUGGCAACAGGGAUGAGGACGUUCAGGAACUACUUGACUUUGAGAGGGAAAUGAUUGAAGAGAAGAAACCUCAGGAAGAAGAAGGCAAACGUGGAGCUUGGAAUGAAGUUGAGAUUGGUGAGUCAUUAGCAGAUUCUUUAU